rnacentral:lncRNA from 9 species
CUUGGAAGCUGGGGAGCCGGGCACCUACUGGUCCAGUCCAGGAGAGGACGGAGGAGGGAUGGACUGGCUCUGCUGCAUCCCGCUCUCCCGAGGCCGAGGCCGAGGCCGAGGCCGCAGGCGUCGUCACGGCAGAGAUGGCCUCUGCCAGGCCUGCAGAACCUGGAUGAGAACGCGAGGCGGACGCCUAUGGGCCGUUGCCCGCAGGGACCCAGAGAGUCCCCCACCCGAGACCCCCCAGGAAUGGGGUGAGGAAGGCAGAAGGCCACCCGAGGAACCUCCACACAGACUGCUCCCCGGGGUCCUCUGCCGGGCUGGUGGGGAGCACAGGAGCGCCAGCUGUGGCCAUGAAGACACCGUCCACAUGAGCCUGACAACCCUGGAAGGCCUGGCACCCCCUGAGGCCCAGCCUGAAGCAGGAGACCUGGAAUCCGAGGCCAAGACGCCAGCCGAGCGGAAAGACCCUGGAGCAACCCCAAUAGGAGGUCCAGAACCAAAGGAGGACUCAGCACCCGGCCAGGGAGGACCCGUAGCUCUUUCAGAGGGACACUCAUGUCCUCAUGGGGACUCAACUCCUGGGGAGGAUGAACCCUCUACUCCUCUCCCAAGAGGCCCAGCUCCUCUUGAGGAGCCACCAUCCGGGCAGGGUGGAACCAAGGCGCCUCCUGCAGGAGGACCAGGCACCCAUGAAGACUCAAAUCAUGGGCAGGAUCAACCUGCUGCUCCUCAUGAAGGAAGACCAGAGCCUCAGGAGGUCUCACCUCCUGGGCAGGAUGAAAAUCCUGGUCUUCCUACAGGAGGACCAGGUCUCCAUGAAGACUCAACUCAUGGGCAGGAUCAACCUGCUGCUCCUCUUGAAGGAAGACCAGAGCCUCAUGAGGUCUCACCUCCCAGGCAGGAUGAACAUCCUGCUCUUCCUACAGGAGAACGAUGCCCUCAGGAGGAAUCACGAGCCGGGCAGGAUGAAAAUCCUGCUCCUCCUCCUGGAUUAUGAGGCUCUCAUGACGAGCCAACAGCCGUGCAGGAUGAAAAACCUGCUCCUCCUCCUGGAGGACAAGGCUCUCAGGUGGAUUCACCAGCCAGGCAGGAUGUAAAUCCUGCUCCACCUCCUGGAGGACGAGGCUCUCAUGAGGACUCAGAAGCCAGGCAGGAUGAACAUCCUGCUCUUCCUCCUGGAAGACCAGACUCUCAGGAGGACUCACGAGCCGGGAAGGAUGAAAAUCUAGUUCCUCCUCCUGGAGGACGAGGCUCUCAUGAUGUCUCUACAGCCGGGCAGGUUGAACAUCUUGCUCCUCCUACAGGAGGGCGAGGCACUCAUGAAGACUCUCCAGCGGGGCAGAUUGAAUAUCCUGCUCCUCCUCCAAGAAGACGAGGCUCUCAUGAUGUCUUACCAGCCGGGCAGGAUGAACAUGCUGCUCCUCCUACACGAGGACGAGGCUCUCAGGAGGACUCCCCAGCCGGGCAGGUUGAAAAUCCUGGUGCUCCUCCUGGAGGACGAGGCCCUCAGGAGGACUCACGGGACGGG